rnacentral:lncRNA from 10 species
CAAUCAAUUCAGGCUUCCCAGGAGGUAAAAAUAUUUCUUCUGGUUGCUUAGAUGCUUCUGAGCUUUUCUUUCCUGCAUGCAUUCAAAAAAUAACCAUUGAAUCUCCCAGAGUUUCUUUGAAGUAUUCCAGACACCCUGACAACAGUUUGGGGAUAGACCAUUUCUCUCUAUAAAUUAUUUUUUUAUAGUCAACUCAUUUGCCUUUUAAACUUGUCUUGCUUUUAGUGGACAUAGUGGCUGGACAGAAUUUCUCCCACCUCUGAAUCUUUUUUUUUUUUUGAAACAGAUUCCCACUCAGU